rnacentral:rRNA from 1 species
UAGCCGUAAACGAUACUCGCUAGGUGUCGGCCACGGUGCGACCGUUGUCGGUGCCGUAGGGAAGCCGUGAAGCGAGCCACCUGGGAAGUACGGCCGCAAGGCUGAAACUUAAAGGAAUCGGCGGGGGAGCACCACAACGGGUGGAGCUUGCGGUUUAAUUGGAUUCAACGCCGGAAAUCUUACCGGGACCGACAGCAACAUGAAGGCCAGGCUGAAGACUUUGCCGGAUUAGCUGAGAGGAGGUGCAUGGCGUAGUCGUGU